rnacentral:rRNA from 1 species
UACGUAGGGUGCGAGCGUUAAUCGGAAUUACUGGGCGUAAAGCGUGCGCAGGCGGUUCGUUAUGCCCGAUGUGAAAGCCCCGAGCUCAACUUGGGAAUGGCAUUGGAAACUGGCGGGCUGGAGUGUGGCAGAGGGGGGUGGAAUUCCACGUGUAGCAGUGAAGUGCGUAGAGAUGUGGAGGAACACCGAUGGCGAAGGCAGCCCCCUGGGCCAACACUGACGCUCAGGCACGAAAGCGUGGGGAGCAAACAGG